rnacentral:tRNA from 1 species
GACAUGUAGCUCAGUUGGAUAGAGCGGCGCUCUCCUAAAGCGCAGGCCGAAGGUUCGACUCCUUUCAUGUCC